rnacentral:tRNA from 1 species
GGGCGAAUGGCGGAACUGGUAGACGCAGUGGAUUCAAAAUCCACCGGGAAACCAUAAGGGUUCGAAUCCCUUUUUGCCCACCA